UUGGAGGGCAAGUCUGGUGCCAGCAGCCGCGGUAAUUCCAGCUCCAAUAGCGUAUAUUAAAGUUGUUGCAGUUAAAAAGCUCGUAGUUGAAUUUCGGGAUCAAUAUGUCGGUCGUGCUUUUGGUACGUACUGGCAUCAUUGGUUUCUCCCUUCUGACAAACCAUGAUGUCAUUAAUUUGGUGUUAUGGGGAGUUAGGACUGUUACUUUGAAAAAAUUAGAGUGUUUAAAGCAGGCAUUAGCUUGAAUACAUUAGCAUGGAAUAAUGAAAUAGGACGUUUGACCCUAUUUUGUUGGUUUCUAGGAUCGACGUAAUGAUUAAUAGGGAUAGUUGGGGGCAUUAGUAUUCAAUUGUCAGAGGUGAAAUUCUUGGAUUUAUUGAAGACUAACUACUGCGAAAGCAUUUGCCAAGGAUGUUUUCAUUAAUCAAGAACGAAAGUUAGGGGAUCGAAGACGAUCAGAUACCGUCGUAGUCAUAACCAUAAACUAUGCCGACUAGGGAUCGGAUGAUGUUAAUUUUUUAAUGACUCAUUCGGCGCCUUACGGGAAAC
rnacentral:rRNA from 1 species